rnacentral:rRNA from 1 species
AUUGAACGCUGGCGGCAGGCUUAACACAUGCAAGUCGAGCGGAGAGAGGUAGCUUGCUACUGAUCUUAGCGGCGGACGGGUGAGUAAUGCUUAGGAAUCUGCCUAUUAGUGGGGGACAACAUUUCGAAAGGAAUGCUAAUACCGCAUACGUCCUACGGGAGAAAGCAGGGGAUCUUCGGACCUUGCGCUAAUAGAUGAGCCUAAGUCGGAUUAGCUAGUUGGUGGGGUAAAGGCCUACCAAGGCGACGAUCUGUAGCGGGUCUGAGAGGAUGAUCCGCCACACUGGGAGUGAGACACGGCCCAGACUCCUACGGGAGGCAGCAGUGGGGAAUAUUGGACAAUGGGCGGAAGCCUGAUCCAGCCAUGCCGCGUGUGUGAAGAAGGCCUUAUGGUUGUAAAGCACUUUAAGCGAGGAGGAGGCUACUUUAGUUAAUACCUAGAGACAGUGGACGUUACUCGCAGAAUAAGCACCGGCUAACUCUGUGCCAGCCGCCGCCGUAAAAC